GGCACAGACCGGGCACAUUGCCCGCCAGCCACUGCGCAGAGCAGUGGCAAAACUGGCCCGAGCCGGCGACGUCGUCGACGGCCGCCUGGACGGCGUCAAACGGUGCCGCCAAGCACAAGGUGGCAAGGAGAUCGGCUCGGCCACUGGCGAUGCUGAUUUUGACUGCCUCGACGUCCACCAGGGCGCCCUUGUCGAUGAGUUGGACAAUCAGGGGCAGGUGGGGGCGGUCGCACGCUGCGACGGUGGCCACCGCAUUCCACUGAUCCAAAGGCGCAAUGCCAGCGUUGUGAAGCAACAGCGGCACCACAUGAUGGCCCAGGCGCAGGGCAUGACGCGCCACGCCCACCGUGAGCAGUCGGCGCGCGUCGGGUCGCGUCAGCAUCCAGGCGACCACGGUGGGCGAGGCAAAGGCGGCGUGACCCAGGCGCGGUUCGGCCCAGCCGUCGAGGGGUGGUCCCGGCGGCUCCUCGCCGGCGAUCCACUUGAGCACGCGCACCUGGUCAUGGCGCGCGGCGGCGACGGCGAGGGCGCGCGUGGAUGCGAUCGCGCCCAGGCGGUGCACCUCUACGAGGGCCUCAACGUGCCCCUGCUCGGCCGCACGGGCCAAAACUUUUGGCGACACUGCCGAGUCGAGCGGCCUUCGAAUACGAGCACACGCCCACUGCACCACCGAGGCGUGGCCAUGCUCCAUCGCCAUCUCAAUCGAGCACAGAGUGGGCGGCGGCGCGGCGCGGCACCCUGCCGCCGAGAGCCAGUGGAUGACAACGAUACGACCGCGUUGGAUGGCAAUCUUUCCCACGUCGACAGGGCACACGCACCGGGCCUGGCCGUCGUCGCACGACAGUCGGUGCAGGGCCUCGAUGGCCGAGACGGACCCGAUGCGCACCGCUCGCUCAAACAGUUUGGGCAGACGUUGGGCCGGCGCCUUGCUCACCGACCGCGCGGGCCAGUGAUCGAGUAGACAGCGGACCAGAUCGCCCCGGUCUGCGUUGACCGCCAUGCCCAGCGCUGCCGCCACGUGGAUCUCGGUGCGCAUCGGGUGCGAUAACUUGUCGUAACACCAGAGCGCCUCUGUACGCUGUAGACUCCUGUCCCAUUCAUCCCAAGCCACGAUGGUACCGUCGCAUGCGGCGGCGGCCGUGGGGUUGUCCUCGACGAUCGACUCGGAGCGCGUGCCGCCAUCACGGCCUGCAAUGCCGCCCAGGAAGCGGGCAUAGUCUUGGGGCGGCACGCCACAAAAGGGGUCGGCGUCCUUGAUCUCGCCCGCGAGACAGAGCCACCGGACCACAUCGAGGUGGCCGCCGCAGACCGCAUCACACAAGAGACCGCGGGCCGCAUAGUUCCAUCGAUGAUCGUCCAUGCCCACGCGGGUCCCCAGGUAGAGCACAGUGGGGAGCGGUGCGCCGGCGGCGAUCGCCAAUCUCACUAUGCUGGCGCCAAGGCGGUCGACCACUUCGUCGGCCAGGGGCCGCGCGAGCAGGGUGGGGCAGGCGAAAAACAGCGCCACCAUGUCGCAUGCAUCGGUUACGUGGGAAAAGAUGGCGGCGCGCAUUUCCAACGGCAGAUCAAUCAACUGCGAGUAUCCGAUCGCAUCCACGUCCUCCAUGUCCACCUCCAUCCCGGCGGCACUCUUUUUGUCUUGCCUUUGCGAGCCAACAGAGGCCCUUUGAGCGGCACCGCGUGUCUGUGUGGGACCGUGUGCGUGUUGUCCCUUCUUCCCAGCACCCAUUCAUCAAUGUAUGCCUGUCAUUGCACCAAUGGACGGUUCACCGAUUUGGUCCAGACCAAUCUCGCAUUGUUGUCGCCAACAUUGCGCAGAAUAGGUAUACCGCCUUUUUUUUGAGCCAAC
rnacentral:lncRNA from 1 species